rnacentral:tRNA from 1 species
GACUCGGUGGCCUAAUGGUUAGCGCGCUGGACUUUGGACCGAGAGGUCCGGGUCCGAACCCUGGCCGGGGUCA